UGGUUCUGGCAUNGAUGAAGAACGCAGCGAAAUGCGAUAAGUAGUGUGAAUUGCAGAAUUCAGUGAAUCAUCGAAUCUUUGAACGCACAUUGCGCCCUAUAGUAUUCUGUAGGGCAUGCAUGUUCGAGCGUCAUUUGUACCUUCAAGCUUUGCUUGGUGUUGGGUGUUUGUCCUCUCCCUGGUGUUUGGACUCGCCUUAAAACAAUUGGCAGCCAGUGUUUUGGUAUUGAAGCGCAGCACAAUUUGCGAUUCUGGCCUUAAAAUACUAGCGUCCAUAAGUACUUUCUCACUUUUGACCUCGGAUCAUGUAGGGAUACCCGCUGA
rnacentral:misc_RNA from 1 species